AUACGGAGGGGGCAAGCGUUGUUCGAAAUGACUGGGCGUAAAGGGCGCGUAGGCGGAUGUGUAAGUUGGGGGUGAAAGGCCUGGGCUCAACCUGGGAAUUGCCUCCAAAACUACAUGUCUUGAGAUCGGAAGAGGAUGGCGGAAUUCCCAGUGUAGAGGUGAAAUUCGUAGAUAUUGGGAAGAACACCGGUGGCGAAGGCGGCCAUCUGGCUCGGUACUGACGCUGAGGCGCGAAAGCGUGGGGAGCAAACCGGAUUAGAAACCCGUGUAGUCC
rnacentral:rRNA from 1 species